CACGUAGGGUGCGAGCGUUGUCCGGAAUUAUUGGGCGUAAAGAGCUCGUAGGCGGUGUGUCGCGUCGGCCGUGAAAACCUGCAGCUUAACUGUGGGCUUGCGGUCGAUACGGGCAUCACUGGAGUUCGGCAGGGGAGACUGGAAUUCAUGGUGUAGCAGUGAAAUGCGUAGAGAUCAUGAGGAAGACCAGUGGCGAAGGCGGGUCUCUGGACAGUUCCUGACACUGAGGCACGAAGGCCAGGGGAGCAAACGGG
rnacentral:rRNA from 1 species